rnacentral:rRNA from 1 species
AGUGAACGCUGGCGGCAGGCCUAACACAUGCAAGUCGAGUGGCAGCGGGUCCCCNCGAGGGGAUGCCGGCGAGCGGCGGACGGGUGAGGAACACAUCGGAAUCUGCCUGGUUGUGGGGGAUAACGUAGGGAAACUUACGCUAAUACUGCAUGCGACCCUGAGUCGACGGACUGGGGGUGAAAGUGAGGGACCUUCGGGCCUCACGCGACCAGAUGAGCCGAUGUCGGANAGUCUAGUUGGCGGGGUAACGGCCCGCCAAGGCGACGAUCCGUAGCUGGUCUGAGAGGAUGAUCAGCCACAC